rnacentral:rRNA from 1 species
GACGAACGCUGGCGGCGUGCCUAAUACAUGCAAGUCGAGCGAAGCGGCGGAUUGGUGAGUAACGCGUGGGUAACCUGUCCUUACGUCUGGGAUAUCAUUUGGAAACAGAUGCUAAUAUCGGAUACUAAAGGAUGUACAUGCGAUGCAUUGGCUAGUUGGUAAGGUAACGGCUUACCAAGGCGAUGAUGCGUAGCCGAGUUGAGAGACUGUUCGGCCACAUUGGGACUGAGACACGGCCCAAACUCCUACGGGAGGCAGCAGUGGGGAAUAUUGCACAAUGGGCGCAAGCCUGAUGCAGCCAUGCCGCGUGUAUGAAGAAGGCCUUCGGGUUGUAAAGUACUUUCAGCGAGGAGGCGUUACUCGCAGAAGAAGCACCGGCUAACUCCGUGCCAGCCGCCGCGGUAAUAC